CGACCCGGACACAGACUAUGAAGUAUCACUGCUGCCUGAGUCCAACGUGCACCUCCUGAGGCCGCAGCACGUGCGAGUACGCACACUGCAAGAGGAGGCCGGGCCAGAACGCAUCGUCAUCUCGCAUGCGAGGCCGCGCAGCCUCCGCGUAAGCUGGGCCCCCGCGCUUGGCCCGGACUCCGCUCUCGGCUACCAUGUACAGCUCGGACCUCUGCAGGGCGGGUCCCUAGAGCGCGUGGAGGUGCCAGCAGGCCAGAACAGCACUACCGUCCAGGGCCUGACGCCCUGCACCACUUACCUGGUGACUGUGACUGCCGCCUUCCGCUCCGGCCGCCAGAGGGCGCUGUCGGCUAAGGCCUGUACGGCCUCUGGCGCGCGGACCCGUGCUCCGCAGUCCAUGCGGCCGGAGGCUGGACCGCGGGAGCCCUGAACUGCCUGCCUGCUCGUCCACCCGGGGGCCCUCUUCCCUAGCCCGGAGAGAGAGACACUGCUGCUCGUGGGUUUUCUUGUGGAUGGAGUCGGGUGGGGAGAUGGGAUGCCGGUCCUGCCUUUGACCAGCGUUAAUUCCUUUCGUCGUUUCCCCACUGGUCAUCGCCGCCCUUGCCUGACUUCCGGGAAACCCGGGUAGCCUCACGCGCAAUGGCGGUCCUCUCCGGUUGCCAGUGGAGUUGAGCACACGGUGGUCCUUGGGCAACUCUUGGCGAGGGGAUGGACAGUGUCUGAGGUCAGGUUGAGGACAUAAGACCCAGGACAAGCCUUCAGGAGAGGAGGCCACAGAGUUUCCAACCUGUGCCAAAGGCUGGGCCCUCUGGUGGCAGGGACUACGCAUGGCUUUGAGGAGGCGUUCAGGACCAUCCAGGUCCUGCCUGGGCCUAGAAAGUGGGUAGGAGAAAGGGAAGAGAGACUAGUGUAGACAGGAUUCCCGAAAACUUCCUCAAGGAAAGGAAAGAUAGGGAGGUAUGCUGGGAGGCUGAUGAUGUGGCAUUGGUUUUCAUCAAGAUGUCCUGCCAGCCUAGAGGCCGGGAUCUGUCAGGGUCACUGACUCUGCCUUCCUGCCCAGGACCUGCACUGGGCCCUCGAUCAGUGCCAAGGAUGCAGUCUUUUCACAGGAAUGGGACGAGACCUUGGCAUUUAGGGCCUCAGGGAUAGGAGAGCCGCACUAUGACAGAUUCUAAGGGAGCCUCCUGCUUUAGUGUAGGGAGCAAGGUGUCAUGCAGGUGGGCUACCUCCUGCCAUCACCAUUACCCUGGGGCAUCUGACAGAUACCUAAGGGUGGUCAGGAACAGGUUUCCUCUCAAGUCCCUAUGUAGGCCUCUCCUCUCCUCUCAGAAUCAUUUGCCUUAUCCCAAGCUUACUCCAUCUCUUCCCCACUAAUGACCCGGACUCUAACAACAAUACAGUCAGACAG
rnacentral:lncRNA from 1 species